AAAAUUAAUUUUCCUAUUAUUAUUAUUAUUAUUAUUAUUAUUAUUUAUUUUUACUAUUUUAUUUUAUUUUUGUAGGAACACAUUCCAAGACAAAUUUAAAUUCCACAUGUCAACCCCCAAAUUCUUUUUAUUUUUCAGCCAAGGCCCACUUUACAUAUCCACCAUUUUAAAAUCCUUUUACCCUAAGCUAGCCCAUUAACACAAACCCAACCCAUCAUACCUACCCAAAAUCAAAAAGAAAAAAAAAACAAAAUUUAAACCCAAAAUUUCCCACCCCAAUCGUCCAUCCCUUUUCUAAUUUAAAAAAAAACCUUACACCCAUCAAAUCAAACUUUUUCACCUAGAAAAAACCCACUACCCCAUAUUAACUCUCCACUUUUACCCCACCUAACCGUCUACUCCUCUCAAAUAAAUAAAAACUUCACCACCAAUCAAAUCCUACACCUUUCACCCAUUACAUCCUAGCCUUCACUUUACCCUAAAAAACAAAUAAAACAACACACAAUCCCAUUUACCCCCAUUUGACCGGCCAAAGAAAGAAAAAAAAAUCUUUUUCAAACUCUACCUUCUUUCUUUUGUUCCCCCUUUCUUUCUUCUUCACCUUCAACACUGUCACUUCUUUUUCUUUCCUUUACCAUCUUCAAAACAGACCUCCAAGAAAGCCAUUGCACCACCCC
rnacentral:lncRNA from 1 species